AUGAAGACAUGUGUUCCUACUUUAUUCAUGUUUCUGUGGCUGCAGAUGGAUGGGAUGAGCCGAGGAGAGCAGGUGGAGCAGCACCCUUCCAUCCUGAGAGUCCAGGAGGGAGCCAGCGCUGUCAUCAACUGCACGUACACAGACAGUGCCUCAGACUAUUUCCCUUGGUAUAAGCAAGAACCUGGGAAGGGUCUUCAGUUCAUCAUGGACAUUCGUUCAAAUAAGGAAAGAAAGCAGAACCAAAGACUCACAGUUUUACUGGAUAAGAAAGCCAAACACUUCUCCCUGCACAUCACAGACACUCAGCCUGGAGACUCAGUACUUCUGUGUUGCGAGUACACACUGCUCCACGGGCACCUGCAGCCUGUCCUCAAACCGUGGGACCCCAUCCACAUCCUGUGUCAGGGGCCUUCCAGGGCAGCAUUUGCCAGUUACUAG